CAGCAGCCGCGGUAAUACGUAGGGUGCGAGCGUUAAUCGGAAUUACUGGGCGUAAAGCGUGCGCAGGCGGCUUUGCAAGACAGAGGUGAAAUCCCCGGGCUCAACCUGGGAACUGCCUUUGUGACUGCAAGGCUAGAGUACGGCAGAGGGGGAUGGAAUUCCGCGUGUAGCAGUGAAAUGCGUAGAUAUGCGGAGGAACACCGAUGGCGAAGGCAAUCCCCUGGGCCUGUACUGACGCUCAUGCACGAAAGCGUGGGGAGCAAAACAGGAUUAGAUACCCUGGUAGUCCACGCCCUAAACGAUGUCAACUGGUUGUUGGACGGCUUGCU
rnacentral:rRNA from 1 species